rnacentral:rRNA from 1 species
AACGAACGCUGGCGGCAUGCCUAACACAUGCAAGUCGAACGAAGGCUUCGGCCUUAGUGGCGCACGGGUGCGUAACGCGUGGGAAUCUGCCCUUUGCUUCGGAAUAACAGUUAGAAAUGACUGCUAAUACCGGAUGAUGUCGCAAGACCAAAGAUUUAUCGGCAAAGGAUGAGCCCGCGUAGGAUUAGCUAGUUGGUGGGGUAAAGGCCUACCAAGGUGACGAUCCUUAGCUGGUCUGAGAGGAUGAUCAGCCACACUGGGACUGAGACACGGCCCAGACUCCUACGGGAGGCAGCAGUGGGGAAUAUUGGACAAUGGGCGAAAGCCUGAUCCAGCAAUGCCGCGUGAGUGAUGAAGGCCUUAGGGUUGUAAAGCUCUUUUACCCGGGAUGAUAAUGACAGUACCGGGAGAAUAAGCUCCGGCUAACUCCGUG